GGCUAUUCGCACCGCCACGGUACAUGGAGCCAUUGUUUCCGUUCUUAUUCGCACCGUCAGAAACAACCAAUGAGAGCGCUUCUUACAAAUGACCCGGAUCACCCGCCCUCUCCAAAUCGCUUUGUCCGGUCAUGCCGGUUGUCUCCUGUACAAGCUGAAUCUCUCAUGUCUCUUGCUGUAAGUACUCCAAAAAGAAUUUUUCUCCCAUUUUUUUCGUUUUCGAAGUGGUCCAAUGUGAGGAGUAUACCACCGAGCACCGUGUUUAGGUGUUAAUUAGAGUAAUUAUGGAAGUUGAAAAGGUGCACAGAUUCGUGGCAGAGCACAUCUUCUGCAAUGGCGGACCUCCAAAGACAACGACGAAACGCUCUUCAGUGCAGAACUUUUAAGGAAGCCUAGGCUGACAAUAACACAUGGAUGGUACCUUGAUUUAAUGACAGAGUCUCAGUCUAUGGAAUCGCGACGAAAUCCUACGACGGCGUCACAAAAUACACUAGUAUAAAAUGAACAUGACAUGUCCUGAAUACAUAGCGUCACGAACGCUCACUUAUCUUUUACCGGCACUGAGAGUAAUUAUGUUCAACUUGCUCACUGAAACUUUAUAGACAUUGGUAGAAAGGGCAUCUACGUAUACCCCGACUGUGAGUUUUAAAUUGAUUGGUGAUUGUAUAACUGUUUUCCGGCGAGCUGCAGUUGAGCAAAAGUACAUAGACUGGCACUUCAAAGCAAUAUUGAUGCUGUGACUGUGUGUAAAUAUUGUAACCCUGUAAGCAUUCUAACACUAAAUAUUCUGGACCAUUGUAUAGCUGUACAUUUAGAUGCCUGAUGUUUAAGUCAUGACUUGUUGUUCAUUUUCGGUUCUCUGUGCUGCCUGCCUUCUCUUGUAAAUAUUCUGCACCAUUGUAUACUAGUAGCUUUACAUAUUAGAUGCCCGAUGUUGAAGUCAUGACUUGUUGUUCAUUUUCGGUUCUCUGUGCUGCCUGCCUUCUCUUGUAAAUAUUCUGCACCAUUGUAUACUAGUAGCUUUACAUAUUAGAUGCCCGAUGUUGAA